rnacentral:rRNA from 1 species
GACGACGCUGGCGGCGUGCUUAACACAUGCAAGUCGAACGGACGAGUGAGAUAAGUUUACUUAACUCACAAGUUAGUGGCGGACGGGUGAGUAACACGUGGAUAAUCUACCUGCAACACCGGGAUAACGCUGUGAAAACGGUGCUAAUACCGGAUACGUUCCCUUGUGCGCAUGUAUGAGGGAAGAAAGCUCAGGCGGUUGCAGAUGAGUCCGCGGCUGAUUAGCUAGUUGGUGAGGUAAAGGCUCACCAAGGCGAUGAUCAGUAGCCGGCCUGAGAGGGUGAACGGCCACACUGGGACUGAGACACGGCCCAGACUCCUACGGGAGGCAGCAGUGGGGAAUUUUGGACAAUGGGCGAAAGCCUGAUCCAGCCAUGCCGCGUGCGGGAAGAAGGCCUUCGGGUUGUAAACCGCUUUAGUCCGGGAAAAAGGGCUGACGUGCUAAUACCGCGUUGGUUUGAUGGUACUGGAAGAAUAAGCACCGGCUAACUACGUG